UUAUUGCACUUCUAACCGGCUCCUCAUUUUGUGAAAUGGGUAUCGUUUUGUAGCAUUUGAGGUAGUUAUCUUCAAGAAUAAAGUACCUCUUGCGUGAAAACUGUAAGCCAAACCUAUUGGACCUAAUAGUAUACAACCAUCCUUCCAUUCUGCCAAUGUUUGGUGGCAUACCCAUUUCAGCAAACCUGUUUUCUUUGGUUUCUUUAAAUAAAAAAACUGAA
rnacentral:misc_RNA from 1 species